GACGAACGCUGGCGGCGUGCUUAACACAUGCAAGUCGAACGCUGAAGCCUAGCUUGCUGGGUGGAUGAGUGGCGAACGGGUGAGUAACACGUGAGUAACCUGCCCUCUUCUUUGGGAUAACGCCCGGAAACGGGUGCUAAUACUGGAUAUUCACUGAUCUUCGCAUGGGGGUUGGUGGAAAGGUUUUUUCUGGUGGGGGAUGGGCUCGCGGCCUAUCAGCUUGUUGGUGGGGUGAUGGCCUACCAAGGCUUUGACGGAUAGCCGGCCUGAGAGGGUGACCGGUCACAUUGGGACUGAGAUACGGCCCAGACUCCUACGGGAGGCAGCAGUGGGGAAUAUUGCACAAUGGGCGAAAGCCUGAUGCAGCGACGCCGCGUGAGGGAUGGAGGCCUUCGGGUUGUAAACCUCUUUCGCUCAUGGUCAAGCCGCAGCUUUGGGUUGUGGUGAGGGUAGUGGGUAAAGAAGCGCCGGCUAACUACGUGCCAGCAGCCGCGGUAAUACGUAGGGCGCGAGCGUUGUCCGGAAUUAUUGGGCGUAAAGGGCUUGUAGGCGGUUGGUCGCGUCUGCCGUGAAAUCCUCUGGCUUAACUGGGGGCGUGCGGUGGGUACGGGCUGACUUGAGUGCGGUAGGGGAGACUGGAACUCCUGGUGUAGCGGUGGAAUGCGCAGAUAUCAGGAAGAACACCGGUGGCGAAGGCGGGUCUCUGGGCCGUUACUGACGCUGAGGAGCGAAAGCGUGGGGAGCGAACAGG
rnacentral:rRNA from 1 species